UGCAGAAUCCCGUGAACCAUCGAGUCUUUGAACGCAAGUUGCGCCCGAAGCCGUUAGGCCGAGGGCACGUCUGCCUGGGCGUCACACGUCGUUGCCCCCCCGACCCCUUCGGGGGUCGGACGGGACGGAUGAUGGCCUUCCCGUGUGCCCUGUCACGCGGUUGGCAUAAAUACCGAGUCCUCGGCGACCGGCGUCGCGGCGAUCGGUGGUUGUCAAACCUCGGUGCCUUGUCGCGUGCGUGUGUCGAUCGCGGGACUUCCUUAGCCGUAAGCGCGUCGGUAACCCGACGCUUUCAACGCGACCCCAGGUCAGGCGGGGUUACCCGCUGAAUUUAA
rnacentral:rRNA from 1 species